rnacentral:rRNA from 1 species
UUAGCUUGCUAGAAGAUGACGGGUGGCGGACGGGUGAGUAAUGCUUGGGAACUUGCCUUUGCGAGGGGGAUAACAGUUGGAGACGGCUGCUAAUACCGCAUAAUGUCUUCGGACCAAACGGGGCUUCGGCUCCGGCGCAAAGAGAGGCCCAAGUGAGAUUAGCUAGUUGGUAAGGUAACGGCUUACCAAGGCGACGAUCUCUAGCUGUUCUGAGAGGAAGAUCAGCCACACUGGGACUGAGACACGGCCCAGACUCCUACGGGAGGCAGCAGUGGGGAAUAUUGCACAAUGGGGGAAACCCUGAUGCAGCCAUGCCGCGUGUGUGAAGAAGGCCUUCGGGUUGUAAAGCACUUUCAGUUGUGAGGAAAAGUUAGUAGUUAAUACCUGCUAGCCGUGACGUUAACAACAGAAGAAGCACCGGCUAACUCCGUGCCAGCAGCCGCGGUAAUACGGAGGGUGCGAGCGUUAAUCGGAAUUACUGGGCGUAAAGCGCACGCAGGCGGUUUGUUAAGCUAGAUGUGAAAGCCCCGGGCUCAACCUGGGAUGGUCAUUUAGAACUGGCAGACUAGAGUCUUGGAGAGGGGAGUGGAAUUCCAGGUGUAGCGGUGAAAUGCGUAGAUAUCUGGAGGAACAUCAGUGGCGAAGGCGACUCCCUGGCCAAAGACUGACGCUCAUGUGCGAAAGUGUGGGUAGCGAACAGGAUUAGAUACCCUGGUAGUCCACACCGUAAACGCUGUCUAC